GCAAUGGACGAAAGUCUGACCGAGCAACGCCGCGUGAGUGAAGAAGGUUUUCGGAUCGUAAAGCUCUGUUGUAAGUCAAGAACGUGUGUGAGAGUGGAAAGUUCACACAGUGACGGUAGCUUACCAGAAAGGGACGGCUAACUACGUGCCAGCAGCCGCGGUAAUACGUAGGUCCCGAGCGUUGUCCGGAUUUAUUGGGCGUAAAGGGAGCGCAGGCGGUCAGGAAAGUCUGGAGUAAAAGGCUAUGGCUCAACCAUAGUGUGCUCUGGAAACUGUCUGACUUGAGUGCAGAAGGGGAGAGUGGAAUUCCAUGUGUAGCGGUGAAAUGCGUAGAUAUAUGGAGGAACACCAGUGGCGAAAGCGGCUCUCUGGUCUGUCACUGACGCUGAGGCUCGAAAGCGUGGGUAGCGAACAGGAUUAGAUACCCUGGUAGUCCACGCCGUAAACGAUGAGUGCUAGGUGUUAGGCCCUUUCCGGGGCUUAGUGCCGGAGCUAACGCAAUAAGCACUCCGCCUGGGGAGUACGAACGCAAGGUUGAAACUCAAAGGAAUUGACGGGGGCCCGCACAAGCGGUGGAGCAUGUGGUUUAAUUCGAAGCACGCGAAGAACUUACCAGGUCUGA
rnacentral:rRNA from 1 species